AGAAGGACACGGGCAGCAGACAGUGGUCAGUCCUUUCUUGGCUCUGCUGACACUCGAGCCCACAUUCCGUCACCUGCUCAGAAUCAUGCAGGUCUCCACUGCUGCCCUUGCUGUCCUCCUCUGCACCAUGGCUCUCUGCAACCAGUUCUCUGCAUCACGUGAGUCUGAGUUUCGUUGUGGGUAUCACCACUCUCUGGCCAUGGUUAGACCACAUCAAUCUUUUCUUGUGGCCUAAAAGCCCCCAAGAGAAAAGAGAACUUCUUAAAGGGCUGCCAAACAUCUUGGUCUUUCUCUUUAAGACUUUUAUUUUUAUCUCUAGAAGGGGUCUUAGCCCCCUAGUCUCCAGUUGCUGCUGACACGCCGACCGCCUGCUGCUUCAGCUACACCUCCCGGCAGAUUCCACAGAAUUUCAUAGCUGACUACUUUGAGACGAGCAGCCAGUGCUCCAAGCCCGGUGUCAUCUUCCUAACCAAGCGAAGCCGGCAGGUCUGUGCUGACCCCAGUGAGGAGUGGGUCCAGAAAUAUGUCAGCGACCUGGAGCUGAGUGCCUGAGGGGUCCAGAAGCUUCGAGGCCCAGCGACCUCGGUGGGCCCAGUGGGGAGGAGCAGGAGCCUGAGCCUUGGGAACAUGCGUGUGACCUCCACAGCUACCUCUUCUAUGGACUGGUUGUUGCCAAACAGCCACACUGUGGGACUCUUCUUAACUUAAAUUUUAAUUUAUUUAUACUAUUUAGUUUUUGUAAUUUAUUUUCGAUUUCACAGUGUGUUUGUGAUUGUUUGCUCUGAGAGUUCCCCUGUCCCCUCCCCCUUCCCUCACACCGCGUCUGGUGACAACCGAGUGGCUGUCAUCAGCCUGUGUAGGCAGUCAUGGCACCAAAGCCACCAGACUGACAAAUGUGUAUCGGAUGCUUUUGUUCAGGGCUGUGAUCGGCCUGGGGAAAUAAUAAAGAUGCUCUUUUAAAAGGUAA
rnacentral:lncRNA from 1 species